GGUCAAAGGAAGCCAAGACCAAAGUUCAUGACGACACAGAGAAGAUUAGCACGGCCCCAGCGCAGGGAUGACUCGCAAAUUCAUGAAGAGUUCCACACUUUA